rnacentral:lncRNA from 1 species
AGUGAGUCUGGUUGAAGGUGAUCCACUAAUACUUUAUUCAGAUUCUGAAGAGGAGAAUAACAUGGCAACACCAUAAUCCCUCAAUAUAGGGGAUUAUUGCAAACAAACUGAUGAAUGACAUGUUUCUAUAGGGUUUGUACCGGCAGACCCUGCUAACUUUGAUAUUAAGAAUUAUGUGCUUUCAUGUCUAAGAGACAAUCCGUUCGAUGGGAACACAAGCAGAGAUC